CCUUGUACACACCGCCCGUCACAUCACGAAAGCCUAGUUGUACUAGAAGCCGGUGACUUAACCGAAAGGAAAUAGCCGUCCAAGGUAUGACUGGUGAUUGGGGUG
rnacentral:rRNA from 1 species